rnacentral:lncRNA from 1 species
UAAAUACUUAAAAUUAAUUGCUUAUAAGUUGACUUAUAACUUGAGUAGUCGACUGAAUAUGAUAAUUUAGCAGAUAGGGUAACGAAAAGUAAAAUGUAGAGAAUAAUUGCAGGAAUUAAAAAUACCGGGAUUUUUAUACUGGUUCAGAUUCAAUGUGAAUCCUAAUCCAGUCCCCUUGGGUUGCAAGAGAGUUCUCUUUAAUAAAUGAGUUUCUUCCGAGUACAGAUGUGGUGUAUAUUGCUCAAUUCCUCUAGCACUCAUUUUAGAUAUAGUGCCUCACCAAUUGUGUUCUCUCUUUCUAUCUCUGACUUGUUACACAAUAGAUCUUAGUGAACUACAAUGCUUGUUUGCAGUAGAAUAAGAGAGUGACUUGAUUUGAUCAAAGUAUGUCUAAGCUAGGGUUUACAAGGGUGUAUAAAUACUUUGAUGGAUGGAAGAGGUUUGACAACCCAGGAGAUUUGAUUCUUGGAAAGAAUUGAUUCUUUCCACGAAUAAGGAAUGAGUUGUUGCUUCUCUAGAUUGCUUUUCUUUAGUAGAGGAUUGCUUCAUUAUUGGUUCUUCCAAAUAUGGUCGCUUCCCAGAUCUCCUCGUAUCCUUUAGUCUUCCGUGAUUCUGCCAUGUUUCGUGCCUUUGUCCAAGGCUUAUUUGAUUUUUUUCAGCUCAGCUAAUCAUUGUUAUUGCUUAUUGAUUCGUUCAUUAGAUUGCGCCCACAUUUACGAGACCAAUCCAGAUUUGUUGAUCACAUGCUGGUUGAUUUCUUUCCUUGUAUAUCAUGAUUCAUUCCAGCAGUCUUCUUUACUUCUUAAACUUGAUUUCCUGAACAUGUAUAUUAUUUACAUCAUUAAAACAUGAUCUAACACUUAAAACCAACAUUAAAACACCUUAGAUUGGACAUACAAUUGUUUUACGAAAAAACAGAAUCCAAAAUAGAGUUUGUCAAAACAAAACCUGAAACCAAAUUAGACACACCCUACAUUUGCAAUAAAACCGAAGUUGUUGUUCAUUUGAGCCUUUAUUCUGAAAAUCUGAAUUCAUUUCAAACGAAAGGCCUUAUGAAAUAUUAAGAAGUUAAAAUGGAUAAAUUGAAGUGCCUCCUUGAAUUCAAAUACCUUGGUCAAACAGCUGUUAUUGCAACAAUGAUAUAAGGCAAAUUCUCCUGCUGGUUUCUGAGAAAAAAACAAGAAUAUUGCGCGUGUUGGAUAUUUGAGUUUAUGUUCCGACAAGUAGUGACGGCAUAAAGCAUCGCUUAUAUUGACCUAAAACUUGCUCUCGACAUGAUAUUUGUUUUUCCUGAUAAGGUACGAUUUAUCAGGCCUAAUGUAGUAACUUAGAAAUAGAGCGAUAGCCUGCUAUAACCGGUUAAACAACAUUGAUAGUGUAAAAGUUCCUGUAUUCCUUCAAUAUAUAUAACUUAAAAUCCUAUUCACAAUUGGCAGGCCUUGUUGACA